GUCGAGGGGCAGCGGGGGUAGCAAUACCUGCCGGCGACCGGCAAACGGGUGCGGAACACGUACACAACCUUCCUUUUAGUGUGGGAUAGCCCAGAGAAAUUUGGAUUAAUACCACAUAGUAUAUUGGGGUGGCAUCACUUUGAUAUUAAAGAUUUAUCGCUAAAAGAUGGGUGUGCGUAUGAUUAGGUAGUUGGUAGAGGUAACGGCUCACCAAGCCUUCGAUCAUUAACUGGUGUGAGAGCACGACCAGUCACACGGGCACUGAGACACGGGCCCGACUCCUACGGGAGGCAGCAGUAAGGAAUAUUGGUCAAUGGACGAAAGUCUGAACCAGCCAUGCCGCGUGAAGGAUGACGGCCCUCUGGGUUGUAAACUUCUUUUAUGUGGGACGAAAAAGGGCCAUUCAUGGUCAACUGACGGUACCAUAGGAAUAAGCACCGGCUAACUCCGUGCCAGCAGCCGCGGUAAUACGGAGGGUGCAAGCGUUAUCCGGAUUUACUGGGUUUAAAGGGAGCGCAGGCGGACUGGUAAGUCAGUGGUGAAAGCCUUGAGCUUAACUCGAGAACUGCCAUUGAUACUAUCAGUCUUGAAUGUUGUUGAGGUUUGCGGAAUGGGUCAUGUAGCGGUGAAAUGCAUAGAUAUGACCCGGAACACCUAUUGCGAAGGCAGCAGGCUAAACAAAUAUUGACGCUGAGGCUCGAAAGCGUGGGGAUCAAACAGGAUUAGAUACCCUGGUAGUCCACGCCCUAAACGAUGAUUACUCGACAUACGUGAUAUGACAAUGUGUGUCUGAGCGAAAG
rnacentral:rRNA from 1 species